UAUUCACAUUGUUUUAAAUUAAUCAUGGAUUAUCUUGUAGCUUUGAGAUUUUCAUAAUGUGAUUGCUUAUUUAUAGAAGGACAUUAUAGAGUAGGCACGAGAGGCCAGAUAUGGCUGGUUUGAACAUAAAGCAUGUAGAAUAUCCUGGCCGGAUAUGGCCAGUUUAAAUG